CUGCUGCACAAGUGCCACUUCUCUGAGGGAGUUUCUCUGAUCGUCCCAUCUGGAAAGCCAGGAAGACAGAUGGUAGAGGUUCAAGAUCCCACAACCACUCUUGCCUCAUCCAAGGACAAAAGGAAGGUGAAGGGGCUGCGUGUCAGUUCCCACUGCACUCCUGUGCCACUGCAGAGCUCUCACAUCCAGGUUGAGAAGAUGGGCUUUUGGGAGAGGAAGACUGCUCCCUCAUGUGAGGAUGCAGAACAGUAUGUUUAACAGUUUAAGAAGGAGGAUGAGCCACCACGGA
ensembl:lncRNA